UACGUAGGGUGCAAGCGUUAAUCGGAAUUACUGGGCGUAAAGCGUGCGCAGGCGGCUUUGCAAGACAGAUGUGAAAUCCCCGGGCUUAACCUGGGAACUGCAUUUGUGACUGCAUGGCUGGAGUGCGGCAGAGGGGGAUGGAAUUCCGCGUGUAGCAGUGAAAUGCGUAGAUAUGCGGAGGAACACCGAUGGCGAAGGCAAUCCCCUGGGCCUGCACUGACGCUCAUGCACGAAAGCGUAGGGAGCAAACAGG
rnacentral:rRNA from 1 species